AUGCAGGUUUGUGGCGUUCAGUUGAGCUCAGCAACAUCUCGCUGCCGAGAAUCAUGGUCGCCAUUUGGUGGAUCUUAUGAGUAUGCUGGACAUAGCUGUUGCAUCUCUGGGAGUCAAAGACCGUUAUGUAGAGUACAAUGCUGUCAGGUGCCACCUUCUACUAGAAAUGUAGCUCAUCUUCAGAAGUAGGACAAAUAUUCUUGUGUUGAUAGGUCAACUUCUUAUCUGCACGUGCAAACUCUUAGGAAUUUCCCAAUUGAAAAACUUUAUGGAGAGGUGGUCCUGUUGUGACUUGAUUCUGUUCUUCUUUUGGAUCCUCUAGGAUUAUUUAGUUGCUCACUGAAAAGGACACUGUCAACUAUCAAAUACCUGUACAAAGCAGGAGGGAAAGUUCUUCUAGUUCCAGUCCCCCAGUCUGUUAAUCCAGUGUUCAAGUCAAUCAAAUCUUUUGCAGACUAUAUGUCAGCGCUUCUUCAAGUAAAGGUCAUCCCGGUGGAUGGUGUCCCUUGUUUAACAUCAUGUAAGAAGGAAGAAUGGGUGCAGAAUGAUAUUAUCUUGUUUGAAAAUCUUUUGAACUUCAGGGGAGAAAAUGCAAACUGCAAUAAUUUUUCUCAGAAGCUAGCGUCAGGUGCAGCAAUCUUUGUCAAUGAUUCUUUCUCAUUGUCUCAUAAGAUUCACGCAUCAACGGUUGGCAUCACUCGUUUCUGCUAUGCAUCUCUUGCUGGUUUCCAUUUUGAGGAGGAGCUUAUGCAAUCGCUAAAGAUCAAUGACACCACAAGGCCAUACAUAGCAAUAAUUGGAGGCAGUAACUUCUUGAGAAAGGCACCUGCACCGCAUCUGUUAGCCCAACGCGAUGGGUUGUUUCUUGUUGGAAAGUUAUCAUUUCAAAUAAUGAAUGGCCUUGGAAUUCCAGUGUCCUCCUGUUUGCUAGAAAAAAAUGCAACCAAGGAAGUGUUACAACUUAUUAAAAUAGCCCAUAAUAGGAACAUUCCUAUUUAUUAUCCAACAGACCUGUGGUGUUUGAACAGCAACAAUAAUGAACAACUCGAAAUAUUUGACUCAGCUGAACUAUUGUCUGGUGAGUAUGACUGGGCUUUAUUUAUUUAUCUAUGUAUUUUUGUUCAUGUGGUUCCUAUUACUCGUGUCAUAUUUACUGGCAAUGGCAGCACUAAUCAUUCUUUAGAAUCAACAUCCUGUUUGGAAUACGACUCUUAA
rnacentral:rRNA from 1 species